rnacentral:tRNA from 1 species
CCCUGGGUGGCUCAGCGGUUGAGCAUCUGACUUCAGCUCAGGUCUUGAUCCCGGGGU